CACACACACAGAGAGUCAUGAGUCUCUCUGCACUGGUCCAAUCACUGCUCAGUGCUGUCUGAGUCCAGCGCUCUCUUUUUAAAUCCCCCUCUCUGUGGUGAAUCAGCACUCGCAGCGCAACCCUCCGGUGAUACAGCAAGUGGUAGAGAAGUCUGCUGAAACAGCCUACACAUUUUCCGGCUGUGAGUGGGGCCUUCAUGGAUUCCCCGUACAAUGGCAACACGUCCCUCCAGACCUCCACCUCCAACCUCAACGCCAACUUCUCCCGGCCGACCGAGGCGGAAGAGGAGGGCAAGUACUCCAGCGACGCCAUCUGGCUUUGGGUGGCCGUCAUUGCAACCAUCGGCAACAUAGUAGUGGUAGCAGUGGUUUGCGCCUGUGCCUUCUAAGACCCGUUAGUUGCAAGCACACAGCCGAAACAUCCCCCUUGCCCCGUCUUUCCUCCACUUGAACCUAUCCCCUGUAUUCAUUUUACUUUUGUAAGUGUCCAUCCAUAAUAUUAAAGCCAAGGCCCCGUUCUGAGGAUCAACGGAAUAUGAUAGUGUAAAUAUAGGGACUGGUUUAACUGAUGUUCUCUAGGACUAGGAAUGAGAGAAACCAUCCUCCGUAGUUACCAUACUGUAUCUUACCUUAAGCCAGUGUCUCACACUGUAAACAAACAAAAAAUCAUGAGAAACGGUGAAGUGAGCAGAUGUGGGCUGUGCCUUUUUAUAAUGAACAUGGUCAAUUAGUUCAGGAAGUGGGCAAUAUAUAAAGCAGCUGAGUGAGCCUCCCUUCUGCUUACCACCAGAGGUCAGCCUAAAGGAUUAUGGAAGUGUACAGCUGUGAGAUCCCCUCUGCCUGUGAACCUGAACAGAACACCACACCAUAUAUCUUUGUCUUGUUGAUGUCAUGUGACUGUUUGUCUGGAAUGGAUGUGUUGAUGCUGCUGUCUUGGUCCAGUUCUCUCUUGAAAUUUUUUUUUAAAUUUUUUAAUCUCCACGAGACUAACCUAGUUAAAUAAGGGUGAAAUAAAUAAUCUGCAGUUCUCGUUGUGGCUGGCCAUCGUCUCGGAGACCAGUGGAGAGAUAUGUGACAGAUGGUGGCUGGUAGUGGGGCAGAGGGGACAGCGGAGGGGCCCAGGGCAGGCUUGGCAGUGCCCCCAGUACCUGGUGUUCUUUCCUGUGACUGCUACACCGCUGCACUACCAUUACUGCUCUGUCCUGUCCUCAUCAGCCUGUCAGUGAUAGAAAUCUCCCCAAGCACUUUAUAAAGCGCAAUAAAGUGGGGAGUUUUCUUCCAUUUUAACUGCAUUGUUCUGCAGUGGCUGUAGACCUGUGCCAGUUUAACUAUGCAGUGAAGGCAUCCUAUUGGGCACACACUGGUUGAAUCAAUGUUGUUUCCACGUCAUUUCAAUGAAACGACGUUGAACCAACAUGGAAUAGAUGUCGAAUUGCCGUCAGUGGGAUGGCAGUGGCUCAUGUUUAUGAGUGAGACAAAUGUAUAGAAACACAGUAUCACCCACAAGCCAAAUGAGUGAAUUAAGUUGUCAGCACAAAUCAGAUGUUAUACCACCCCUGCUGACAUUAUCUGAAGUUACGGAACCACCAAUUACAUCACACUAAAUCAUUGAGCCGCCCACCAUUACCAGACCACUGCUACAACAGCCUCAAGCUGUAGAGCUAGCAGUCAAAUGAGUUCUCUCGUCAUAAGAAACCCCAUUGCUGUUAACGCUCAUUUUUUAGUUGCUGUGCCAGGCAGUCAGAAUCUCACAUUCGCCUCAGAAUGUCUCUCAGUAGACUAGUGUGUGUAGGUGGCAGCAGCCCCAGUAGUUCUGUGCUGUGCUGUCUCCCAUGCACCCAGUGGAGUCGGGCCACAGACUUGUCAAACAGCAGGGCUUUAAUGAGAUGUAAUGCCUCUCUCUCUCUCUCUUUCCUAAAGCGAACACUGACCUCCCGUUGCGCUGUGGUGAUCAGAACAGAGCUGAUCCCUGCUGCACUCAGCUGCUCUGAACAAAGAUAGUGCUUCAAGUGCAUUUUUAGAGUGUGACUUCCUCAUUUAAUCAGCACUUGUUGACAGAGAGAAAGGGGAAGGAGAGAGGAGCGGACGAGAGGAGUGGCUGCAUGGGAAUUGAUUUUUAACAGCCAACUUCCAUGUCAUCUCUGAAAUACAAAACUUUUUUUGAAGUUGAAUGGAGAAUUCCAUUAUUUUUAUUGAAACCAACGAAGUGGAAUAAAAAGUUUGAAAAUGGAGAGCUUUAGGAUCAAAGGCCUGGCUGAGCCAUCACUUCACACAGCUAAUUGCCCUGAUCUCACUGUACAGUAGAGUUAAUGAAAACAAGAGACCGAUUCAUCAUGGCAUCUCUGAGCGGUCCUUUUCAGGGUCCUUAGAGACCUUAGCCAGAAACAUGCAGGAACAUUAAUCUGUUGUCUGUUAAAAUAAACAACAACAAUCGCACUGAAUGGGGUCUUCAUAAGUAACUGCUGGCAAUAACUCAAGAUGAAGCUAACAAGUUAGAAUUAUACAUCCCCACUAUAUGUAGUUACUUUAAUACUGUAACUAUUCUGAAGCCAAAUUCAUAUGGACUAGGUGAGGAAUCCCAGUUAGCUAUAAUAGGAAUUUCUUCUACCCUUGUAUCGGCUGUGUGCUUUGACAUGGGACUGGUUAAGGCUCAGGUGCCCACUGUCUACGGCUCGAAUUAUGUGCCUGAACUGACUAACACAACUCCUACCCGUCAACUGCUUAUUGACCAUGGAUGCCCCUUGACCACCAUGGAUGAUGGUCCUCCUACACACCACAAAAGGUCAUCACAGCCUCAAGUCCAGAGCACCAGACCGUGCUUUCUGCAUUGGCACUGGCCUCUGACCCGAGGCAGGGCACCUCAUGCCCACAUGCCUCUUCCUUCCCAGGCAACAAGAAAUAGUCCGGUCGUUGCUGGGUGAAAUGGACAAGUCACUCCUACGAGAGGAGAACUGUAAGAGCAAGGAGCAGCUGGACUCCCAGGAAUUUUCCAUCCUUCCUCGGCCUCCAGGAAUAUAUAUGCUAAUUAAAGCUGACUUCCUAUAUCCUGAGUACAGCAGAGACAGUAUGGUUGACUAGGGACUGUGACUUUAUAAAAGCACCCAGAGGAAACCCAUAAAGACUACAUGGAGGCUGGGAGGAAUAUUGUGUAUAGGUGGGACUUGAGAGGUGACAGUCACAGACAUCAUAUUUAUAACUUCAACAAAUGAUACCAUAUCUUAUUCAAGGUUACUUGUAGUUAACUUGAUUUGGAAUGUGCUGUGACCCAUGACACUCAAAGGACCUAGAAAGUGAAACCACACUAUGUCCAUCCUCCUGGAGCCCUGUAUGUCUUUGUUUUGAAAUGGAUUUCUGACAGCGAUUCACAUACUCAUUGCAAUGAAUGGAUGGAUAUUCAUCGACUUCCUUGACUCUGAAGACUUGGAUUCUACAUUUCUGUGCAUCCAGUUGCAGUGUUGUACGUUCUGAUACCUCCCUGUAGGUGUCAGGGUUACUGCUAUGAAAUACUGAUUGACAGAAAGGCUGUUUUAGUUCAAUUAAUUCACAAUGUUAAUUCACAAAAGCGUCCUAUAACAAUUACUUCAUACAAAAUACUGCACAGAGUCGUGUCACUGCAAUUGUUUUACAAUUACAUUUCUAGAGGGGAGGGGAACACUUACUGUCUUGACUUUCCAUAAAUGUAUGACCUACUUUGAAAAGAUAUCUUUAAAAAAACAGGAAAUCUAACAUGUGGGGGUUUUCUUUUAAUUUCAGUAUAUGUAUAAGCAUGGUUGCAGUGUACAGUAUAAACACUAGGGGGUUUAUUGACACCAUUUAUAUUUUUAACAUGAUAUUUGAGGCUCAUUAUUAUUUUGUUCCCAUGCUAGAUUAACCAAAACAUGCGCACACACGCAUUGUGAAACGUGGCUUGCAUUACAGGAGCCAGGAAUCAAUACGUGUACUGUAUAAGGAUAAUGGAUGUGUACACGUCAGUAAAUUAGACCAGCUCUGUUGUUCAUUUGCUCCUCACUACCAGUAGUCCCAACAUCCAAGCCGCGUGUGCAUGCUCAUUGCAAAGACGUCUUAAUAUGGAAAACACUUAGACGCAGCUGGUGCGAGACCACAUGACAGUUCGAACCAGGAUCAUUUUCUUGUCUUUUCGAAUUUCUAUUGUGAUAUUUUCAUUUAGUAUGAGCUUACUGAGCUUGCUUGCAUGUAUUGGGUUUACUUCCGUCCCGACAUAUUGUUAGUCGACAACUCUGCAAGCUGCGUUCCCGUAAGGAAUAAAUCAUGUAAUAAUCAUGACAUUAUGGAAUAUUGAUUGGAGGAUUCAUUACUUGGUACAUGGAGAAAUAUGUAGAACUAAUGUGGAAUAUUUUUUUUGUCAACUUUUUAUUGAUCAUGUACAUAUUUCCAAUGUUUUAGCAAUUGUCAGUGCAGAAACAUCGCUGCCAAAGUCUUGAUGUGUUUUUUUUUACACACUCUUGCAAGUGAACAGAAAAGCUUAGAAGUAAACAUGUUUUUACCUACAUAAUCAAAUCUAUGUCGUCUGUAAACCUCAUGUUUUUCCAUCCUGUUUCAUUCAAUUAAAGUGAUAAGAAUGUGAAAAUGA